AUAUCAUUUCCAAAUCAAUAUUCUACAUUCCAUUAGUGUUGGCUACUCCUGGUAAAUUAUAGUUGAUGUUGGCAGUGUUUUUUGACUAGAAAAUAGUAGAUAAGAAAGUAAAAACACAUACGGUAAGCCAGAAAGGCAAUUUAGUAUAUAUGUCAAAAUAACAAAGUUUAUAUAGUAGAUGCUUUUUUCAUAUAUAGUAUUGCUUUAUCCUGCAUGUUUUAUGUUAGUUACCCUAGCAGAAAUAUAUAUUCUGGAGCUUGCACACAGUUGUUAUCCAACCUGAAAUUUGUAUUUUAUUCCUCCUGUUCUUAUGGAAAAUAUUACAUUUAUCUACUGAUUGCUAAGAUUUUCAUACAAAGUUCAUGCAACUGUAUUACAACUUUCUAGGCUGAUCUGUAUUUUAGAUAUAAGUAGGCUUGUAUAUAAAACAGGUUGGGGGUGCAAAAUGUGUAAAUUUGAAACAUCAACAUAAAUAGUUUUGCUAAAACAUUACAGACUACACCAUGGUAAUUGUGCAUGGGCAACCAUUUCCUUGCCUCUGUCAAGAUUGUUUGUGUUUUUUCAGAACAUGGGGCAGCCUUAGAUCACAUUUAUCAAGACAUCAAACUUAGAAAACCUCCAGAUUUGCAGAAAGUUUUUAUUUUACUUGUCCUUGUUGCAAUGCCAUGACAAUUUCCAUAGAAAUAAAAAAAAAAAAACACGAAACUGUCAUCUGUGUAUUUCAGAACUGCAAUUUCAGAACUAACAUGUAUGGUACAUUUGCUUCCCACAGAAGCCGAAAACAUACUCCUCACUCAUUGCAUGACUUCAAGGCAGACAUAAUAAAAAGGUGUAUAGAAGAGGUUGUUAAAGAGUUAAAUUUUAUAUCUUGAUCAGCAUCUGGACCCAUCAUCAAAGUUAUUGCAGAUAAAAUGGGCAAGAAAUAAGGGAUAUCUUGGAGCGCUGGCCUGCAUUAUCAGAUGCAACACAGAUAAAUGAAGAAUUCAAGAGGAUAACCACUGUAGGUCUUGAAUCCACAUUUAUGGCCAAACUUGACAAAUGCACCCAAAACUAAUGGACCUGGCCUCAUCCAGGGGAGGAGCUAAAGGGGAAAUAAUCGGAAGGAUUAAGGAUAUGCUUCUUGAGAACAAUGCAGUUGAAGUAUGGAGAGAAGUAGCCAUUCACUGUCUUGUUGUCUAUCUUGGAGAGAAAGAAGAGGAUCUUUUUAAGGAGUUUGCUAAUACACAAGAAUCAUUGGUGAUCUGUCAACUAUGGAAUUAAACCACAAGACGGGAACCAUCAUUGUUGAGGGAAUCAGAAUCCUGAUUGGAAUGGAUAUCUCAAGGUGUUGUGCUCUGCUAACGGGCAUAAUAUAUGCUCUGAAUCUGAGCUACCCCAAGGAGCUUAAAUAUACUUGUUAAGUGUUUCAGAAGCUGUUUCUUGAACUUGAUGGACUGAAGCCCAGUGCAAAAGUAAUGCGUCUCAAGAACAGCAUUUUCUGAAGCCUCUACUUAUUUCAAAGUACAUUUUGCUCUUUAUGUUGCAACUAUAUUGUUUUGUAUUUUGAAGUCCACAUGCUGAUCUUUUUAUUUCAUUUACAUAUGUUUGUUUAAAAUAAUACAAAUGUUACAUGUUUUACAAUUAAGGUUAGCUAAUAACAAGUAGUUUGUAAAAUGUACAAUUUAUAAGUUAAUAGUUAGCUUUAAGUGUAUCAAUGCCUAUAACUCUUGUUUUGUUGGAAUUCAUUGUGAUGGCAUAGCUAUGCAUGCAUGCACAUUUUUGAAGGCAAAGCUGACGGGUCAGUUUGUUUAUAAUUUGUGAGACAGUACACAUUUGUGUUUUGUAAACUUUGAGAAGUGCAAUAUUUAAAAUAAAACACUGAAAACU